UUCAUUUCCACAUGCAAGCUCUUUGGCAGAAGUAACAUCCUCUUCAAAAACAUCAUCAAACACAGAUGAAACAAAGUCUGCUGAUUAUACAAAUGUCAUGUCCAGCAAACCAACGGAGUCUUCCUUCGCUUCCUCACUGUUCAGCAUAGAAACAACUACAAACCCUCCAGCAGAGCUUUUUGAGAGUGUCUACAUAGAAAAGACAAUGAUACCCACAGGUUCUUAUGUUACAGAUAUGCCAGAAAAGUCCCUUACCAUUGCGCAAUUAGAUCAAGAGGGCUCUGGAAGCCAAACCACGCUUGUGUUAAGCUCAACUACUUCUCGCAAAGGUUCAUCUUCAUCUCCAUCUACUUCGGAGGCACCAACAGCUAAAUCACCUGGAAUAACAGAUGGACAUGAAACAUAUAAGACACUUCUGCCAUCUCCUCAAAAGGAACCAUCAGUACCUACAGUCUUUGAUGACACAGCCCCAACUCUACUGACAAGAUCAAGUAGUGCAUCUUCUACACUUGUGGAGUCAUCUUCAUUCCUCACUGGCUCAACAAUUAAACCUUCAAACACAUCUAUCUUAAUCUCCUCAGAGUCAGAGGCUUCAAAACACAGUGUUGAUGGUGCCACAGAUCAGUCAUCAUUGACCACAACUACUGCUUAUUCAACACUCAGUACGAUGUCUUCAUCGCACAUACCUUCUUCAAGUGAAAUGUCAAAACCAACUGUCUACACAGCAUCACCACUUUACAGCACAGAGGAACUUUUGUCAGUAACUUCUGACAAACAACAAGUUUCAGUCACUAGUAGGAUUGAGGGCAUACCUGUAACAGCAAUAGAAGAUUCCUCUUCUUCCAAAGCAUAUCAACAGAGUUUAGAUGAUCAGACAACAGAGAUGUCUACCAACGACACAGCAUCUUCUACAGCUUCUUUUUUGUUCAGCACCAAAAAGACAACAGCAGCUUCAAUUGAGAAAGAUUACGAUCUUGUGUCUGAUGAGACAGCAAUGUCUUCACUAUCUCCUUUCACCAGUAUUGAUGGCAAAUCAACCAUAACCCUUGCAGAACUAGAGGGCUCAGGAAGCGAAAGUCCAAGCACAAUAAGCUCAAGCAUGUCAGUCAGUGAUGCAUCUUCAUUUCCACAUGCAAGCUCUUUGGCAGAAGUAACAUCCUCUUCAAAAACAUCAUCAAACACAGAUGAAACAAAGUCUGCUGAUUAUACAAAUGUCAUGUCCAGCAAACCAACGGAGUCUUCCCUCGCUUCCUCACUGUUCAGCACAGAAACAACUACAAACCCUCCAGCAGAGCUUUUUGAGAGUGUCUACAUAGAAAAGACAAUGAUACCCACAGGUUCUUAUGUUACAGAUAUGUCAGAAAAGCCCCUUACCAUUGCACAAUUAGAUCAAGAGUAUUCAGGAAGCAAAACCACACUUGUGUUGAGCUCAACUCUUUCUCUCAAAGGUUCACCUUCAUCUCCUUAUACUUCGGAGGCACCAACAGCUAAAUCACCUGGAAUAACAGAUGGACAUGAAGCACAUAAGACACUACUGCCGUCUCUUCAAAUGGAACCACCAGUAUCCACAGUCUUUGAUGGCACAGUCCCAACUCUACUGACAAGAUCAACUAUUACAUCUGCCAGUACAGCAACAAUGUUAUCUUCAGAAACAGCAUUACCACCCAUAACCACAGAAGCUAAAAGUUCUGGAUACAGCCCUAGUCAAUCCACUUCUGGGACAACUGUAGCACCUACCACUCCUUCUCCAGUGUUUAUCUUGUUGUCAUCACUUACUGUUCCAACCAAAUCUCAAACAAGACAUAGUUCAACAACACUUGUUCCUACAGCCACAUCAACUUACGGCACAGAUAUUCCCACAUCAGUUUCUUCAGAUAUGGUUCCAAAAAUGCAUGAAGUAGGUUCAACAUCUUUUACAUUUGACACCACAAGAACAACUAGUGACAGCAGUCUAAAACCUAUAAAUACAUUUUUCAAGGGACUUCCGUCUUCCUCUCCCACAUAUUUUCAUUCAUCCUCUGUUUCUAUCCCAGAGAAACCUGGGAACGUUUCUGUUUCCACACAACCUGUUUUGGGUUCAAGUAUAGACACAUUUCAGAGUUUAUUAGCUUCUCACAAUAAUAAUAAGUCCUUGGUAGAUUCAACUACCAAACUGCCUGAAGACAGCACCUGGAACCCAACUCCUGACAUAAUUUCUCAAAUUUCUACAGUCCCAGUAGUGACAGAAGAGGAGGACUAUAAUUACUCAGCAAGCGGUGGGUUGGUUGAAUCCAUAUCUGAUAUAGUGAGCUCAGGAGGUGACAUAUCUGGAGACUUAAAUGAAACUACUACAGAAAUGCAAACACAGUUUAAUGUUCCUUUUGUGUCCCAAUUAAGCCAAAAAAUACAUGGGCCUUAUAUUGGGCUUAAUGAAAUGACCACAAUAUCCCAAAAUGAAUACAUUGUUGCAACAGAUGAGGUUGAAACAAGUGAGGCUGAUAACACAUCAGAUAUGAAAAUGGUAAUCUCAGCCCAAUCAGCACAUCUGACCAGUACUCAAACUUACUUCUCUGCAUCAGGCAGUGGAGAUUUAAUUGAUGCUUCUUCAGAUGAUGAAGUUUCUGGUACCCCCUACAAUCAGCCACCUCCACGUGGACCAGAUACACGUUCAUUCCCAGAUGCUGAUAAGACUGCUGAUUCUGUUGUGCCCCCUGCUUUCAAAACAGGAAGAACAACAACAUCCACAGAGGUCCCCUUAUCAGAUGAUAAUUUUCGGCUUUCAUCUCUCCCGUCUGCAACCUCCCAGCCUUCUGCUUUGGAAUCUGUGACUCCUUCCACUUAUGCAACCAAAAAGCCAACUGAGCUAGCUUUGAGUAACAACAUUCCCUCAGUUGACAUAUUGUCAAUUUAUAAUAAAGAUAUGUUAACCCCCCCACCAGCAAUGAUGGUCAGUUCCACAAUUGGAGCAGUUAAUUUGGAUGAGGAAGCCACAAAAUCACCCUUUAAAACUUCCCAUACCACCGGAAUGGAUGCCAUCAAAACCAGUCAGCCAAAGCAAGAUGACAACCAAUCAGUGUCAAUCCCAUUACCCACCAUUCUAUACCAGAGCAUUAUUGACCAACAAGUUGAGAUUGUUACCUCUAACAGCAAGCAAGUUGAGACUGACCUAAAAAAAGGAACACCUACUAUGGUCCUGAAAAUGUCUCAGCCAUCAAGUAGCACUUCCAUCACAAUAAAAGAGAGAGAUGAACAGUGGUCUAGAGCCAAAGAUGAUAUAAGUCCAGACAGUCCCACACCAGAAAUCAAUGCCAACGAUGAUACAAUCAUUGAUGUAGAUACUCUCUCCAUUGUUACAUCUUCUUUGCUUUACCCAAACGUCCAGACAGAAGAAGCUGCAGGUGUCAUAGCAGUUACAAUGACGCAACCCUUCGACAUAAAGGAAGACCUGGAGGGUUCAGGGACUGCAAGUACUACUACUUUUACUCCUACAUUUGCAGAUUCAGCCACAUAUUCAACCCUAACCAUAGCAUCUCCUAAAUAUGAUUCAACAAAAGCAACCAGUAAAUUAAACAAUGCUAAUGAAUAUUCAACUAGCACGAUCUCAAGUCAACACCUUUCCAUUGAACAAACUUCAAAGGUCAUCUCAACUUCAGUAACGUCAAACGAAAUGGCCCAGUCUCACACAACUGCUUCCCCGACAUACUCUGCAGCAGCUUCCCAAAAGUCAGUUGAGCAUGUGAAGUCAGACACCAUUAAACCACGAAAACCACAGACUGACCAUUCUUUUCACAAUGUAUCAUCAACCACAACCAUAACGUACCCUAAUACAAAUGGCCAAAAACCCAUACAUCCAUAUACUUAUGAUGAUGAUUUGGAUGAUGAUUAUCCAGAUAAUUCGGGGAAAAAAAACAACAUUGUUGAAUCUGUUCCUCAACUCAGUACAACCACAAUGCCAAGUGCAGACAGUAAUGUUUUUGUUACAUCAAAGCCCAUUGCCCAGACCACUGAGAUUCACCCAUCUUUAGACAAUAUUGAAAUUCAGCCUUCAGAAAAAGAUUCAGACAGUAAUGGAACUUCAUCAGUUAGUUCUGAUAGUGAAUUUGGAGAGCAGAUAACAAGCAUACCAAAAAUGGAUGGAAUUAAAGAUGGAAAUCUCUCCCCAGAUAAAAUUCAGACUGUGUUUAAGGUAAAUGCAACAUCAACUUCAAAGACUGUGACUGAUGGACCAUAUCACGCUUCGGACCAAGAAAUUGUGAACAAUAUCAAUGAAAGCAAUAGUGAAACUACCACAAGGACUCAUCAAAAGUUCAUUGCAACAUCAACAGCACAAGCAAAAAACCAUUUGUCGGUUCCAUCUUUAUCCACCACGCGUUCAUCUUCUCAUGAAGAAAGAAAGCAUGAGAACAGUGACUUAAAAACAUCCCCAUCGCUCAAUGGAAUAACACAAUUAAUAGCAGCAGAAGAAACAACCACGUCCAACCCCACAUCACUGAAUCUGGGGCACACAGUUGUUGGCGAGGCUGUUGAAAUUCCUGGUAUGUUUAUUCUAAUAUAUUUUACUGAAUUACUGAAAAACAUAUGUAAUUAUUCUAAGAAUAUGCAUUAA
ensembl:lncRNA